UACGUAGGGUGCAAGCGUUGUCCGGAAUUAUUGGGCGUAAAGAGCUCGUAGGCGGUUUGUUGCGUCGGCUUUGAAAUCCCGAGGCUCAACCUCGGGUCUGCAGUCGAUACGAGCAAACUAGAGUGUUGCAGGGGAGACUGGAAUUCCUGGUGUAGCGGUGAAAUGCGCAGAUAUCAGGAGGAACACCGGUGGCGAAGGCGGGUCUCUGGGCAACAACUGACGCUGAGGAGCGAAAGCGUGGGGAGCGAACAGG
rnacentral:rRNA from 1 species